rnacentral:rRNA from 1 species
UGACCUGUGUGUUGUACCACAUCCAACGCAAGGGCAAAAACUAGUGCCAACAUUCCUAUAUCCUCCCCACCCCUCACCCCCUCCCGAACGAGAUGCCACAGCCACAAAAUCCCCUCCUCCUCCUCACCAAACCUAACCUUAUCCGUGGCGUGCGUCUUCGCUGCUUGUGGUCUCCCAAAUGGAAUCCUCUUCCUCGUCAUCUGGAGCACGCUCGUCCUCCCAUGGUGGACCUCCUGGCUAUUCUCCGAACCCUUCCCCAAUUCCUUAUCGUGAGCAGCCGCUAGCAUACGAGCCAUCUGAAGAUUGCCCAUGCCACAAGAAAGCGGCGAGAUGGAUCUCCUGGAGCAACGGAAAUCCUGGUCGUAGGUAUCUGACCUGCCAGAGAUCUCGGGUAAGCAUUCAUUUGACAGUAUUUCCUUCUCCAUUCUUGCUGGAUCUUUCUCGCAUUCAUAUAUUUGGCACACUUUCUUGGCGAUGGAUUGAUGACCCUACUACGCCCUUUCUUCGCCAACUUUUGGUCGAUCUGCGUGACGCGGUGAACAACCUCCGGAGGGAGAACACUCAGCUCAGAGGAGUAAAUGCAGACCUGGAAAUGGGGAUUGAGGACCGAAGCACCCAGAAUAAUGCUUUGCGGGAUGCAUUGCGCAAGAUGAAGGAACAGAAUCAGGCUCUUGAAGAGAAGUUGGGGCAAACUGAAGGCCCGCUGAAUGUGAAAAACAAUGGUCAUCAGAAGCGGAUGCUUUUUAGUGUAGUUCUGAUAGUGAUGAUUGUGUUUUUAGUUAGCAAGCUUGCUGCUUAGUAUGAUUAACUUAGAGAUGCACUGCUUCUGCUGUUGUGCUCUGGAUGUGCAAUAUAUUUACUAUUGUGCUCGUCGCUGCUGUUUCCCCUCGUCAAACUGAAGAAUGUAAUUUCUUUUAAACAUGGUACGUAUGUCACAUGUUAGAAAUCAUGUAGCAUAACAUAUUGGCAGGGCAUCAUAAAUUUAACGAUAGCAAACACAAGUUUCUUAGACAAAAGACAAGCCCCGUUUCAAUUUCAGAUGAACUUGUCCUUUCUCGCAUCAGUACAAAUGUUAUCUUCUUACUUGCACAUCAUCUGAAGAAGUGCCAAGUUUUAAUGUCUUGAAACUGAAAGAUCACUACACGGCCGAAUAAACCUAAAUGUUCACCACAACAUCAUUUUUCAUCUUCCUUAACAGCAAAUGAGGUUAUUUGCACAAAAAAAUGCACGAGGCAAGAGUAAAAGUAAACCAGUUGCAAGUGCAAUCAAAUCAUUGGAAGACGCCGAACAUUCUUCCUGAGCAGUUAUUCCUCUUGUGGCCUUCCAGGCCGCACUUUGUACACUUUGGAACUUUCCUUUUUUUCUUUGCUACCCCUCCAAAUGAGGGGCAUCCCGAUGCUUUGUGACCCCUCCCUCUACAGAUUGAGCAAAACUUUGUUCUUGGCUUGCUAACAUUUUCAUAACCUGGCUUUGCUCUUGCGUUUGUUGGCCUGCCUAGAUCCCUCUUGCGUGAUACAACAUUCAUUGAACCUGACAGACCAUUUGCUCCUGGUGUCACAGGGACAUCUUGGUCAUGUGCUUGAGCAGUGGCUUGAUCAUUUAACCCUCGUCCAUCGCUCUCCUGGUUGAUAUCAUUUAGAACACUUAUUGCGUCCAGCAACUGCUUCAUUGCAGCUCCAUAAGCUUCAGUGUUCUUGUCCCC